rnacentral:lncRNA from 1 species
GGUUCUUGCGAUCUAAACACCAUGUUAUGGAGAACGCUCUAAUUGGCUUAUUUAUUUUUCAUUUUUGUAAUCUAUCGUACGAUUGGUUGUAUUUGUGCAUGUUUCAAACCGGAAGUCUUAUCCAUGACUAAAAUUUAGUCUGAUGACGGAAUCAUAUCCGGACUCCUUUUUUGUCGUUUUUCUCCCAAAAUAACUCAAUCUGAAUAAUCCUAAGAAUGGAU